CCCUCCUGUUAGGACGUCCCGAGAAACAAGUCGCGAUUCAUCCCUGUUUUAAGUUGUCAAUCGUAAUAUUUAUUAUUUGUUUGUUUAACUAUAAUAUUGUAUACUUCUUUCAUUAUUUAAUACCUUCGUGGUACGCUUUAGCAGUGUAAAGAUUUCACAGUGGUAAACUAGAGUUCAAGAAGGAAUACGACAUCCCGUCAUGAUGUACAAUGGAAGAGAUUCUCGUUUCCGCAUCGACCUCUGCGAUUUAUUAAUGAAUAUAAUUAUCACAAACUGCUGUUUUAUUCUAUUCUUCUACGCAUUAUAUUAUGAAACUAUUGAUAUGCAGGGUUUCCAAGUAAUCUUGGAUUGGAGACAUAUAAUACGAUUCUGUCAUGAUAUUGUAUCCGGAAUAUUGGCAUACGGACUCUUCGUUUUUAUUUAUCUAACGUGGAAUGCAUGGCUUAGAGACCAAUAAGAUGUAUUUUUUUCGGCGAUGUUCUUCAAGAUUAACGGCACCUCAUCACUGACCACUGCUUAAACCCAUGAUAAUCUUAAAAUUAAUUAAUAUGAAUUUGAUAUUAUAUGUCAAUUUUUAGGUAUUUUUAGGUCUGUAACUUGAUGAUAUGUAUAUGUAUAUCAUCGUUAUCUUAUGGAUAUAAUUUAAUACUUACUAUGAUAGUUGUAGAGUUAUCUUUCAAUGAAUGUGUAUUUGAUAUAUUAAUAACAAAAAAAUAUAAAUAACCAAACCAACCCAAAAACAACUUUUACAUCUUCUUUAAAGGCCGGCAACGUCCUGUGAGACCUCUGAUGUUGCAAGAGAAUGUGAGCGGCGAUGAUCACUUAGCACCGGUGACCCGUACGCCCGUUUGUCCUUCUUUGCCAUGAAAAAUCUAUUAUAAUUUACGCCAAACAGUAUUAAUUGAUUUAUAGAAAGUAUUUUAAUAACAUUGAUAAUAAUUAUAGUAAGUAAGAUAAUAUUUGAAUAUAAUAUAUAUUGAAGUAGACGAAUCUCAUACUAGCUGCGUCUAGUGGGCCAAUAACCGUCCGCACGCCAAAUAUUUGCGAGUUGGUAAUUCCUUGCAUAUUGUGUUACAUUCUUGUUUUAAUGUAACUUGCCAUAAAAUAUAUAUGAACUUUUAACCAUCUUGUACCUAGACAAUGAAAUUAAAUAAAUUAUAUAACAUUGUCAUUGUAACUCUGCAUACAAGAAAUCGAUAAAAGUUAUUUAUAGUGUGUAAGUACCCUUAAGGUGAAUAUUUGUCGUUAGUAUUAAUAUCCUAACACAGCAUAUAGUCGAUAUUUAGA